GCCCUGUGGUUACUGGACACUUGAUUUGUACAUUCAGUGCUUCAGUUUGUAGAAAUGGGCCGAAAAUGAUACUGUGAUUUACGCAUGGAAUCUGUGAUACGUGAGCAGCUUCCAUAGCCCUGUCACAGUUACAGAC
rnacentral:snoRNA from 1 species